GCUUGUUUGGACAGACAUACACUAAAUCUGGAACAAUACAGAGAAGGUCAGCAUGCCCCUACACAAAAGAUGACAUGCAAAUUAGUGAUGAGUGGGAGAUCAGU